rnacentral:rRNA from 1 species
UCCGUAGGUGAACCUGCGCAGGGAUCAUUACUGAGUUUACGCUCUACAACCCUUUGUGAACAUACCUAUAACUGUUGCUUCGGCGGGUAGGGUCUCCGCGACCCUCCCGGCCUCCCGCCUCCGGGCGGGUCGGCGCCCGCCGGAGGAUAACCAAACUCUGAUUUAACGACGUUUCUUCUGAGUGGUACAAGCAAAUAAUCAAAACUUUUAACAACGGAUCUCUUGGUUCUGGCAUCGAUGAAGAACGCAGCGAAAUGCGAUAAGUAAUGUGAAUUGCAGAAUUCAGUGAAUCAUCGAAUCUUUGAACGCACAUUGCGCCCGCCAGCAUUCUGGCGGGCAUGCCUGUUCGAGCGUCAUUUCAACCCUCAAGCUCUGCUUGGUGUUGGGGCCCUACAGCCGAUGUAGGCCCUCAAAGGUAGUGGCGGACCCUCCCGGAGCCUCCUUUGCGUAGUAACUUUACGUCUCGCACUGGGAUCCGGAGGGACUCUUGCCGUAAAACCCCCCAAUUUUCCAAAGGUUGACCUCGGAUCAGGUAGGAAUACCCGCUGAACUUAAGCAUAUCA